UGCAUUCACAGUUGUACGCGGUGGAACUGCGUAGAUAUAUGAAGAACUUUCAGAGCCGAAAGUGGCUACCUGGUCUGUCAACUGACAGCUGAGAUAGAAAGCGUGGGUAGCAAACAUGAUUAGUAUAUCUGGUAGUCCACGCGCGUAAACGAUGAAUGCUAAGUGUUGGAGGGCUCUCGCCGUCUCAGUGGUGCAGCUAACGCAAUAAGCAUUCCGCCUGGGGAGUACGACUCGCAAGGUUGAAACUCAAAGGAAUUGACGGGGGCCCCAACAAAUCGGUGGAGCAUGUGGUUUAAUUUGAGAGUUUGGAUCAUGGCUCAGGAUGAACGCUGGCGGCGUGCCUAAUACAUGCAAGUCGAACGAAACUUCUUUAUCACCGAGCGCUUGCACUCACCGAUAAAGAGUUGAGUGGCGAACGGGUGAGUAACACGUGGGCAACCUGCCCAAAAGAGGGGGAUAACACUUGGAAACAGGUGCUAAUCCCGCAUACCCAUAGUUACCGCAUGGUAACUAUGUAAAAGGUGGCUAUGCUACCGCUUUUGGAUGGGCCCGCGGCGCAUUAGCUAGUUGGUGGGGUAAAGGCUUACCAAGGCAAUGAUGCGUAGCCGAACUGAGAGGUUGAUCGGCCACAUUGGGACUGAGACACGGCCCAAACUCCUACGGGAGGCAGCAGUAGGGAAUCUUCCACAAUGGGCGAAAGCCUGAUGGAGCAACGCCGCGUGGGUGAAGAAGGUCUUCGGAUCGUAAACACCCUGUUGUUAGAGAAGAAAGUGCGUGAGAGUAACUGUUCACGUUUCGACGGUAUCUAACCAGAAAGCCGAUCGGCUAACUACGUGCCAGCAGCCGCGGUAAUACGUAGGUGGCAAGCGUUAUCCGGAUUUAUUGGGCGUAAAGGGAACGCAGGCGGUCUUUUAAGUCUGAUGUGAAAGCCUUCGGCUUAACCGGAGUAGUGCAUUCGAAACUGGGCGACUUGACUGCAGAAGAGGAGAGUGGAACUCCAUGUGUAGCGGUGAAAUGCGUAGAUAUAUGGAAGAACACCAGUGGCGAAAGCGGCUCUCUGGUCUGUAACUGACGCUGAGGUUCGAAAGCGUGGGUAGCAAACAGGAUUAGAUACCCCGGUAGUCCACCCCGUAAACGAUGAAUCCUAAGUGUUGGAGGGUUUCCGCCCUUCAGUGCUGCAGCUAACGCAAUAAGCACCCGCCUGGACUGCGCG
rnacentral:rRNA from 2 species